GUUUCUUUUGUGAGAGGUUGAGAGUUUUACCAGUGUACUAGAGACCACCAUUUUUCUACUGGAGGCUGAUAUUGUACUACUUAUGUUUCACUUUUAUGGUUUAGUUAUGCUCUUUUCCUACUGUUAUAGAAGAUAGAAUCAUACUGCUCUGAUAUCACUAGUUGUUGCUCAUUCGUUUCUUUUUCUUCUCGCUCUUACUUCCGCUUUUACUCUAGACGCCUUAUAUGU
rnacentral:lncRNA from 1 species